rnacentral:rRNA from 1 species
GUGCCAGCAGCCGCGGUAAUACGGAGGGUGCGAGCGUUAAUCGGAAUUACUGGGCGUAAAGCGCACGCAGGCGGUUUGUUAAGCUAGAUGUGAAAGCCCCGGGCUCAACCUGGGAUGGUCAUUUAGAACUGGCAGACUAGAGUCUUGGAGAGGGGAGUGGAAUUCCAGGUGUAGCGGUGAAAUGCGUAGAUAUCUGGAGGAACAUCAGUGGCGAAGGCGACUCCCUGGCCAAAGACUGACGCUCAUGUGCGAAAGUGUGGGUAGCGAACAGGAUUAGAUACCCGUGUAAGAUG